AGCAUGGCCAGGGGCGGGGCUUCCCUGAGGCGCGCCGAGAGGCGGUGGCCCACUUCCGGCAAUAAUCGCCUGGUCGCCGUCAGGUGCCGGCCCAGGUGGCAGGCGCGCCCGUUGGGCACUGGGGGACGCGGGCGCGUCAGGUGAAGACUGGGGGCUGCAGGCGCGCUAGGAGAACUAUGCCAUUUUUGGGUCAGGACUGGAGAUCUCCUGGAUGGAGUUGGAUUAAGACAGAAGAUGGCUGGAAGAAUUGUGAAUCUUGUAGUCAGAAACUUGAAAGAGAGAAUAACCAUUGUAACAUCAGUCACAGCAUUAUCUUAAAUAGCGAAGAUGGAGAAAUACUCAAUAAUGAAGAGCAUGAAUAUGCAUCCAAAAAAAGAAAAAGGACCAUUUUAGAAAUGACACAAAUACUCAAAGUUUUUAUCAUGAAAAAUGGAUCUAUGUCCAUAAAGAAAGCACAAAAGAA
rnacentral:lncRNA from 1 species